GGAGUUAGCCGGUGCUUCUUCUGUGAGUGAUGUCCUUCCUGCCGGCUAUUAACCCGCAGGCCUUCUUCCUCACUGAAAGUGCUUUACAACCCGAAGGCCUUCUUCACACACGCGGCAUGGCUGGAUCAGGGUUGCCCCCAUUGUCCAAUAUUCCCCACUGCUGCCUCCCGUAGGAGUCUGGGCCGUGUCUCAGUCCCAGUGUGGCUGAUCAUCCUCUCAGACCAGCUACGGAUCGUCGCCUUGGUGAGCCGUUACCUCACCAACCAGCUAAUCCGACAUAGGCUCAUCCGAUAGCGCGAGGCCCGAAGGUCCCCCGCUUUCCCCCGUAGGGCGUAUGCGGUAUUAGCCUGGGUUUUCCCCCAGGUUAUCCCCCGACUACCGGGCAGAUUCCUAUGCAUUACUCACCCGUCCGCCGCUCGCCACCAGGGAGCAAGCUCCCCGGUGCUGCCGCUCGACUUGCAUGUGUUAGGCCUGCCGCCAGCGUUCAAUCUGAGCCAUAAUCAAACUCUGA
rnacentral:rRNA from 1 species